AAUGACACUUCAGUGUUCUUCCUAACCAUCCCUGUGCAAAUGGAUUCUCUUCCAAGAGGGUUUAUAGGAAACAUGGAGUACAGCAGCUGCUGAUUCAGAGAAGACCUCAGUGUGUUUUGCAUGCAUUGUCUAAAAUAGAAACAUUUGGAAACAUCUGCAGCAAAGCUGAACCCUUCUGAAGAACUUUAUCUCUCUAGAAAGAUCUCCUCAGCAUUUUUCUUCUGAACAUCUUCAUCCCACUGGACAUGGGGAGAUGCUUCUAAUCCUUUUGAAAUACCAGCCUCCUGGAUCAGGCAACUUAGUGACUCUGGAAA